GAGUUUGAUCGUGGCUCAGGAUGAACGCUGGCGGCGUGCUUAACACAUGCAAGUCGAACGAAGCACUUGAAUGGAAUUCUUCGGAAGGAAGCUCAAGUGACUGAGUGGCGGACGGGUGAGUAACGCGUGGGUAACCUGCCUCAUACAGGGGGAUAACAGUUAGAAAUGGCUGCUAAUACCGCAUAAGCGCACGGUACUGCAUGGUACAGUGUAGAAAACUCCGGUGGUAUGAGAUGGACCCCGCGUU
rnacentral:rRNA from 1 species